rnacentral:rRNA from 1 species
AACGAACGCUGGCGGCAGGCCUAACACAUGCAAGUCGAGCGCGCCCUUCGGGGUGAGCGGCGGACGGGUGAGUAACGCGUGGGAACGUGCCCUUUUCUACGGAAUAGCCUCGGGAAACUGAGAGUAAUACCGUAUACGCCCUUUGGGGGAAAGAUUUAUCGGAAAAGGAUCGGCCCGCGUUGGAUUGGGUAGUUGGUGGGGUAAUGGCCUACCAAGCCGACGAUCCAUAGCGGGUUUGAGAGGAUGAUCAGCCACACUGGGACUGAGACACGGCCCAGACUCCUACGGGAGGCAGCAGUGGGGAAUCUUAGACAAUGGGGGCAACCCUGAUCUAGCCAUGCCGCGUGAGUGAUGAAGGCCUUAGGGUUGUAAAGCUCUUUCAGCUGGGAAGAUAAUGACGGUACCAGCAGAAGAAGCCCCGGCUAACUCCGUG